rnacentral:rRNA from 1 species
UACGAAGGGUGCAAACGUUGCUCGGAAUUAUUGGGCGUAAAGCGCACGUAGGCGGCUUGGCAAGUCAGAUGUGAAAUCCCUCGGCUCAACCAAGGAAGUGCAUCCGAAACUGCCGAGCUUGAGUACUUAAGAGGAUCGCGGAAUUCCCGGUGUAGAGGUGAAAUUCGUAGAUAUCGGGAGGAACACCAGUGGCGAAGGCGGCGAUCUGGGAAGAUACUGACGCUGAGGUGCGAAAGCGUGGGGAGCAAACAGG